GGAUGUGAUCAUACCAUCAUUAAUGCACCGAAUCACAUCAGAACUCCGCAGUUAAGCGUGCUAGGGUGAGAGUAAAACUAGGAUGGAUGACCUCCCGGGAAGUCAUCGUGUUGCAUCCC
rnacentral:rRNA from 1 species